CCUACGGGAGGCAGCAGUGGGGAAUAUUGGGCAAUGGACGCAAGUCUGACCCAGCAACGCCGCGGGAGGGAAGAAGGUACAGCGUAUCGUAAACCUCUUUUGUCAGGGAACAAAGGCGGGGACUAGUCCCCGGAUGAGGGUACCUGAAGAAAAAGCAUCGGCUAACUCCGUGCCAGCAGCCGCGGUAAUACGGAGGAUGCGAGCGUUAUCCGGUUUUAGUGGGUUCAAAGGGUGCGCAGGCGGCCUGUUAAGUCAGCGGUAAAAGCCCGGGGCUCAACCCCGGCGAGCCGUUGAAAAUGGCGGGCUGGAGUUGGAGAGAAGUACGCGGAAGGCGCGGUGUAGCGGUGAACUGCUUAGAUAUCGCGCAGAACCCCGAUUGCGAAGGCAGCGUACCGGCUCCACACUGACGCUGAGGCACGAAAGCGUGGGUAUCGAACAGGAUUAGAUACCCCUGUAGUC
rnacentral:rRNA from 1 species